GAUGAACGCUGGCGGUGUGCCUAAUACAUGCAAGUCGAGCGAACAGACGAGGAGCUUACUCCUCUGACGUUAGCGGCGGACGGGUGAGUAACACGUGGAUAACCUACCUAUAAGACUGGGAUAACUUCGGGAAACCGGAGCUAAUACCGGAUAACAUGUUGAACCGCAUGGUUCAACAGUGAAAGACGGUCUUGCUGUCACUUAUAGAUGGAUCCGCGUCGCAUUAGCUAGUUGGUAAGGUAACGGCUUACCAAGGCAACGAUGCGUAGCCGACCUGAGAGGGUGAUCGGCCACACUGGAACUGAGACACGGUCCAGACUCCUACGGGAGGCAGCAGUAGGGAAUCUUCCGCAAUGGGCGAAAGCCUGACGGAGCAACGCCGCGUGAGUGAAGAAGGUCUUCGGAUCGUAAAACUCUGUUAUUAGGGAAGAACAAAUGUGUAAGUAACUAUGCACGUCUUGACGGUACCUAAUCAGAAAGCCACGGCUAACCACGUG
rnacentral:rRNA from 1 species